GACGAACGCUGGCGGCGUGCUUAAUACAUGCAAGUAGGACGCAGUUGCGAACGGGAGAGUAAAGCGUAGGUAAUUGCCUAUUAGAGGGGGAUAACUAUUGGCAACGAUAGCCAAUACCGCAUUCUAGUAGAUGGACCUGCGUUGUAUUAGCUAGUAGGUAGGGUAAUGGCCUACCUAGGCGAUGAUACAGAGCCGACUGGAGAGGGGGAUCGGCAACAUGGGGACUGUGACACGGCCCAGACUCCUACGGGAGGCAGCAGUAGGGAAUCUUCGGAAAUGGGGGGAACUCUGACCGAGCAACGCCGCGUGAGUGAAGAAGGUUUUCGGGUCGUAAAGCUCUGUUGUUAAGGAAGCGGUACCUAACCAGAAAGGGACGGCUAACUACGUGCCAGCAGCCGCGGUAAUUC
rnacentral:rRNA from 1 species